AUCAACAUUAUAACGGCGUNAAGCNUGGUCACAUGUUAUCCAAGUAGCUAAGAUNNNNAAGCAACUNAUCCGUCAUAAGCCCAAGAUGCGUCAUAAGGCCUCUAUUCNAAGAAGAUCUUAGACCAACGAUCAAUUAAAGCCACGAAAGCCAGGACCCAAACUGGGAUUAGAUACCCCACUAUGCCUGGCCCUAAAUCUUGAUGCUNGAUCUAACCGGAGCAUCCGCCCGAGAACUACGAGCACAAACGCUUNAAACUCUAAGGACUUGGCGGUGCUCNAAAUCCACCUAGAGGAGCCUGUUCUGUAAUCGAUGAUCCACGAUAUACCUGACCAUUCNUUGCCCAAAACAGCCUAUAUACCGCCGUCUCCAGCCCACCCCGCAUGAAGGUUC
rnacentral:rRNA from 1 species